rnacentral:rRNA from 1 species
GGGGGGGGCAAGCGUUGUUCGGAAUUACUGGGCGUAAAGGGCUCGUAGGUGGCCAACUAAGUCAGACGUGAAAUCCCUCGGCUUAACCGGGGAACUGCGUCUGAUACUGGAUGGCUUGAGUUUGGGAGAGGGAUGCGGAAUUCCAGGUGUAGCGGUGAAAUGCGUAGAUAUCUGGAGGAACACCGGUGGCGAAGGCGGCAUCCUGGACCAACACUGACACUGAGGAGCGAAAGCCAGGGGAGCAAACGGGAUUAGAUACCCCGGUAGUCCUGGCCCUAAACGAUGAAUGCUUGGUGUGACGGGUAUCGAUCCCUGUCGUGCCGAAGCUAACGCAUUAAGCAUUCCGCCUGGGGAGUACGGUCGCAAGGCUGAA